CGACUCCAGGUCUCCAAAGGCCGCCGCCGCCUCCGCGAGGAAAACCCUAAUUCUUGGUCUAUAUAAAUAUGGGAUUCAUGAGAUACGAACGUUGUCCUCGGGUUUCCUGUGAUCUUGUUUGGUUUCGCCAGCGUCUUUUGGUUUCUUCUCGCGGAAGCUCUGUAUAAGAUUUAGAGAUUUUACUUGUCUCUCCAUCAAAGUGGAGGUUGCUGUGACGACUCUGGAAAAUUCAAGCUCAACAGACCGGAUCGCAGGUCUCGCUUUCUGGAGGGAUUUAUCUUGUUUGAGUGCCAAUGGCCGAAUACAAUGUCAUCCAGAUUUGUGAUCAACCACUUGGACUUAUUUCAAAGCUGGUGUGUUCACAAGUCUUUCCGGUAUCAUCUUCAGCUGCUAACUUGUGAUCCAGCGUUGGCAUGAGUCAAUUGACAAAGUCAACCCAAAAGUUGAUUGAAGCUGAUAUCUAAGGAAAAGAAUGUCGGUAUAAUAGCAUUAUAGGUAUAUGUACUCUAUGGGGAGUAUGAGGUGAGAUCUUUGUACAUUGUAUCUAUCCUUAUAUAAAUGCACGUCAUUACAUCUUAACAUUUAAA